GAUGAAUGCUGGCGGCGUGCCUAAUACAUGCAAGUCGAGCGAAUGGAUUAAGAGCUUGCUCUUAUGAAGUUAGCGGCGGACGGGUGAGUAACACGUGGGUAACCUGCCCAUAAGACUGGGAUAACUCCGGGAAACCGGGGCUAAUACCGGAUAACAUUUUGAACCGCAUGGUUCGAAAUUGAAAGGCGGCUUCGGCUGUCACUUAUGGAUGGACCCGCGUCGCAUUAGCUAGUUGGUGAGGUAACGGCUCACCAAGGCAACGAUGCGUAGCCGACCUGAGAGGGCGAUCGGCCACACUGGGACUGAGACACGGCCCAGACUCCUACGGGAGGCAGCAGUAGGGAAUCUUCCGCAAUGGACGAAAGUCUGACGGAGCAACGCCGCGUGAGUGAUGAAGGCUUUCGGGUCGUAAAACUCUGUUGUUAGGGAAGAACAAGUGCUAGUUGAAUAAGCUGGCACCUUGACGGUACCUAACCAGAAAGCCACGGCUAACUACGUGCCAGCAGCCGCGGUAA
rnacentral:rRNA from 1 species